AAAAAAAUCAUGCAGCGGAAAAAUUGGAAUUAAAAAUACUUAUAAUUUUGAGGUUAUACAUAAUUUCGAGAAAUUUUCUUAACUCGAAUCUUACGUUAUAUCUCUUCUCGAGUUAUAAAUUAUCGAAUCUCAUUAUCGAAGUGAUAUUGUGAUAUUUUAUAUCAAUAACAAUAUAAAAUAACAAUUACACAAUAUUCCAAUCACCAAGGAUCACAUAAAAUAUAACUUCAUCAAAUAAUAAAACAAGAACUACAAUAAAAUUCCAGCAGAUGCUCGUAAACAUUGGUUUAUAGUUUUUCCCAGGACUUUGGUCGGGUGAGACCUUUCGUAUCCUUUUAUGGCCACACUAUUAUCAUGGAAUCUUGUAAAUGUUUGAACAACCAUCUCAAAGAAGUUUUACCAUGUCGCAGCGGCUAUCACGUGGCUGUACGUGGCACGUUUACUAACCAGAUAGAGACACAAAAUAAUUCGCUUGAAUUCUAUGUUCUUCCUCUUCCCAACAUAUUUCUUCCCGCGGAAAUGGAAGACAGAUUAAUGCCAUGGGAUUUCGUUAGAGACAACAAUGGUGUUCGAUACAAUUAGCCUAGAAGCUGACGUCAUGCAUCGUGGACGAUGGAUGGAAUGCGAAAUGCGGAAACAAAACAACUAGGUAGAACCUAUUAAUCGUGUCCUUACGACUCUCGUCACAUGUAAAUAACAGUGAUUAAAGUCUGCGCAGCUAAUGAACCUUGAAGAAAGAAUUUAUUGCCUAAUAUUGUGGAUUCUUUUGCUCGUGUCGUCAUUCCAAUUUAUAUAAGAAACGGGUCCUUGAUUACAGAAUCGCAACUAAAUGAUUCUAAUUGCAGAUCUAAAUAUGGUAAACAUUUUGAUAUUUUUGUAAUGAAGAAUAUAACGAAGAACAUAAAUAUUGAUAAGUGAUACGUUUAAUAAUGAAAGAUUGAAAUGAUUAUUAAACUUCAUCGAGGUUAAUUAUUUGCUUUUUGAAAGUUUAAAUAUUAUUUGUACAUUUUGGAUUAAAUUGAAGAAUUUUAC